rnacentral:rRNA from 1 species
UACAGAGGUCUCAAGCGUUGUUCGGAUUCAUUGGGCGUAAAGGGUGCGUAGGCGGUGGGGCAAGUCAGGUGUGAAAUCCCGGGGCUCAACCCCGGAACUGCACUUGAUACUGCUUUACUAGAGUACUGGAGAGGAGACUGGAAUUUACGGUGUAGCAGUGAAAUGCGUAGAUAUCUGGAGGAAUACCGGUGGCGAAGGCGGCAUCCUGGACCAUUUACUGACGCUGAGGCGCGAAAGCUAGGGGAGCAAACGGG